UUUCUCUGUGUUUGUGGUAGUGCUCUGUAAAUUUCGUUUAGGUCAAGCUCGGUGAGCUGGGCCAUUGUAGCAGAGUUGGUAGAAGCUGAGUUUUUUUUUCUUCUGCCUGUGUCACACUUAACGCACUAUAGGAAGUGCAACAAUUUUGUUUACUUUCCGGUUAGACUCUGGUCUGUGCUCUGUUGACGACUCGGCAUGCCCAAGCGGGGCAGUUGGAGCCAUUUUGUGCUUCCGUUACAAUAGCUUGGUGACUGAAGUGGCAUUACUGGGCGUUCGAAGGUUUUGCAGCGGCUCUUCCUCCUACAGAUUUUUUUCCUCCGCUCUAGUUGGCGGUUCAAGGAUUUCCUUGAUGGACGAAAGGAGCUAUGUUGACAGAGUGCAUGUUGUGUGUAUUAGUGAGAGAGAGAGAGAGAGAGAGAGAGGUGAAAGAGCUAAUAUAAAAGAGCAUUUUUUAGUUGAGAAUAUAAAUGAAAAUCUAGCCAAUGCUAUUGGUUGACAGGCACUCUAUAGAUCUAAGAAGCUGGACGUGAGGUCUGAAAGUUGCUGCAUUGAUGCCACAUAGGUGUUGAUGAGGACUUAAAAACCCCGCCGCCAUUGCAAUUUUGAUUGUAGAAUUGGACAGAUUCGUUUGUCCAUUGGAACCCAUUUUUUUAUCUUACCUUAGUGCGGUUCUUCGUUCGUCUUCAAGAUUGGCUGUGGUUUUUGCGAAAAAAAGAGAAAAUAAUAUGUUGCUCGAGCGGGUGAUCCAGUGCAACUAAAGUCCAUUACUGCUCGUCAAGGCUGACUGCAAUAUUUGCAAGGAAAAGAUAAGAGUACGUUGCUCAAUCGCUCAUCAUUGUAGUGGAGGACCCUCUUCAAACUUCCAACGGAUGAGUUCCCCGGAUUGAAUGAUCAGUUAGGCGAAUGGAUUAGGGUUAGGAUUGAAUUAGGUUAGUUGGAUGAAUAAUUUAAUCGGGAUGAUAAACUUUAUCAUGGAUAAAAUUUUAAAAAUGGAUGAAGUAUAUGGAUGAAGUAUUAUUUAAGGAUGAA